GCGGAGGAAAAGAAAAUAACAAUGAUUUCCCUAGUAACGGCGAGUGAAGAGGAAAGAGCUCAAAGUUGGAACCUGUUUGGCUUAGCUAAACCGGAUUGUAAACUGUAGAAGUGUUUUCCAGACACGCCUGGUAAAAAAGUCCUUUGGAACAGGGCAUCAUAGAGGGUGAGAAUCCCGUCUUUGGCCAGAGCUGUUGUCUUUUGUGAUACAUUUUCAAAGAGUCAGGUUGUUUGGGAAUGCAGCCUAAAUUGGGUGGUAAAUCUCACCUAAAGCUAAAUAUUUGCGAGAGACCGAUAGCGAACAAGUACCGUGAGGGAAAGAUGAAAAGAACUUUGAAAAGAGAGUUAAACAGUAUGUGAAAUUGUUAAAAGGGAACCGUUUGGAGCCAGACUGGCUUGACUGUAAUCAAUCUAGGCUUCGGCCUGGAUGCACUUGCGGUUUAUGCCUGCCAACGACAAUUUUUUUUGAGGGAAAAAACUAUUAGGAAUGUGGCCCCCCUCGGGGGGUGUUAUAGCCUUUUAGAAAAUACCUUGAAUUGGAUUGAGGAACGCAGUGAAUGCCUUUUUAAGGCAAGAUUGCUGGGCGCUUUCGCUAAUAAAUGCUAGAAUUUCUGCUUCGGGUGGUGCUAGUGUUUAAAGGAGAAACUCGCUUGGUAUAUUUUUUAUUCGCUUAGGUUGUUGGCUUAAUGACUCUAAUGAC
rnacentral:rRNA from 1 species